UACGUAGGGGGCAAGCGUUGUCCGGAAUCAUUGGGCGUAAAGCGCGUGUAGGCGGUCCGGUAAGUCCGCUGUGAAAGUCGGGGGCUUAACCCUCGGAUGCCGGUGGAUACUGUCGGGCUUGAGUACGGAAGAGGCGAGUGGAAUUCCUUGGUGUAGCGGUGAAAUGCGCAGAUAUCAGGAGGAACACCAAUUGCGAAGGCAGCUCGCUGGGACGUUACUGACGCUGAGACGCGAAAGCGUGGGGAGCAAACAGG
rnacentral:rRNA from 1 species